GGAGGAUUAGCUCAGCUGGGAGAGCACCUGCUUUGCACGCAGGAGGUCAGCGGUUCGAUCCCGCUAGGCUCCA
rnacentral:tRNA from 1 species